AGUGAACGCUGGCGGCGUGCCUAAUACAUGCAAGUCGAACGAGUGGCGCACGGGUGAGUAAUGUCUGGGAAACUGCCUGAUGGAGGGGGAUAACUACUGGAAACGGUAGCUAAUACCGCAUACCAUCGGAUGUGCCCAGAUGGGAUUAGCUAGUAGGUGGGGUAACGGCUCACCUAGGCGACGAUCCCUAGCUGGUCUGAGAGGAUGACCAGCCACACGGGAACGGAGACACGGUCCAGACUCCUACGGGAGGCAGCAGUGGGGAAUAUUGCACAAUGGGCGCAAGCCUGAUGCAGCCAUGCCGCGUGUAUGAAGAAGGCCUUCGGGUUGUAAAGUACUUUCAGCGGGGAGGCGUUACCCGCAGAAGAAGCACCGGCUAACUCCGUGCCAGCAGCCGCGGUAAUAC
rnacentral:rRNA from 1 species